UCCAGCAGUUCUUCUGUAGGAGGACUAUCACUCCCAAAAAAUGACGUCUUGAAGUAACAAUAAUGAUCCAUCGGUUGUCAUUUUCGCCACCAGGUGGCGUUUACCACGGCCGAGCGUCUGCUGUGUUUUCGAUGUGCUAGUGCAUUUUACUACAUUUUGCUAUUGAGGAAAUAUAUUUUUUAAAAUGGGUAAAUAGUUUUAUUUCCUUAGUUAAACCAAGCCGUCUUUUUGCUUGGAUCUAAAAAGAAAGUUCAAUAUCUUAUACGUGUCAUCAAACAAACUGUCGCCCUAGUAAAGUAAUAUAACAUAAUGCGAUGAAGGUUAAAGAGGUUUAAGCAAAGUCAAAAAUUUCCUACCGCUUCUAAUAUCUAAUGUUGUAUCUGCCUUAACUUCCAAGAGAUUUAAAGAAGUACGGACGAACGAAACGGGGAAAUUCCGGCAUAACAACACAACAACAACAUUUUUCCUUAUUAGGACUAUAUGCAGGAGCAUACCAAUUCCUUGGUCUGAAAUUGAAAUUCACACUUUGUAUGGUGCGAAAAACAGGGAAAGGGUAAGAAUAUUGAUCAUUAUGUCAUAAUGGAAAGGUAUAUCCACCGGGGAUGGUGAGAAACAUCAGGGUGCCACGAAAUUGUAUAAAAUUGUGCAACAGAGCCAACUAUAAUCAGUUGAGUGUCCAUCUACAACUUAACAAGAGAAUUUCAGUUGUUUACCAAUUACUGAAUUCUCUUGCUCGUUAACAUCAACAACUUCAGUUAGCCUUGCAACAAUAGGCAUCCAUGGCCUUACGCUUCUACUUACUAUUGCCCUUAUGACUGGGACAAGCAUAGGUGUGCCAAUGGGUUCACCGUCUUCUAGCUAUGGUGGUUAUUCAUACCAGAUAACCACUGCUGCGCCGUACUACACCACGAUGUAUUCGUUUCCUACUUACUACACCACGUAUGCAGUACCGACUUACUAUACGGAGGCCCCGAAAUACUACCCCGCGCCGAACUAUUACACAGAAGCGCCAGUGUAUUACAUUACAGCGUACGCUUCACCGUCUUACUACACUGAGGCCCCAAAAUAUUACGUAGCUCCAACCUACUUCACCGAAGCUGCCCCAUCUUACUACUCCUAGCCGACCAACUAUACUGAAGCCUCGAAGUACUACGCUGCCCCAAGUUACUACACCACGGCUGCUCCUUCAUAGUACAUGGAACCAGGUAAUAUGAAUCCUUUUGUUUUAUCAUUUGCAGUCCUCGUUUCAAAAUGAGUAUUUCCCUGUCAAAUAUUUAUGCGUUCACUAGUCGUCCCAUACGAAUGUGGUUUCUCAAUGAAAUGUUGAAUACAAAUAUAUAAUUAUCGACA